CUUUUAUGGGAGUAUCUGGAAUGCAGACUCAGUAGAUGUCCAUCUCCUUUAUCUCUUAACGAACGGAGGGGUUUUCCUGGUGAAGAAUGAAGAACAUCCCAACACAAUGCACUCAGGACUUGCGUGACGGCAUUCCAAGAAUUUUUCAAGCUGUUCUGUAGUCAAAGGGCUGCAUGAGUGGGUGCUAAUUGAAGCCUGUAAGAAGUGCCUAACAGUUCUGACACACUGUCACAGCAGUUUUACUGAUAGAGAACAACCCAUCACUCUUAGUAUGUGUGG
ensembl:lncRNA